rnacentral:rRNA from 1 species
ACGAAGGGUGCAAGCGUUACUCGGAAUUACUGGGCGUAAAGCGUGCGUAGGUGGUUCGUUAAGUCUGAUGUGAAAGCCCUGGGCUCAACCUGGGAAUGGCAUUGGAUACUGGCGACCUAGAGUGCGGUAGAGGGGUGUGGAAUUCCCGGUGUAGCAGUGAAAUGCGCGGAUAUCAGGAGGAACACCGAUGGCGAAGGCAGGUCUCUGGGCCACUACUGACGCUGAGAAGCGAAAGCAUGGGGAGCGAACAGGA